rnacentral:rRNA from 1 species
UACAGAGGGUGCGAGCGUUGUCCGGAAUCACUGGGCGUAAAGAGCUCGUAGGCGGUUUGUUGCGUCGGCUGUGAAAUCCCGAGGCUCAACCUCGGGUCUGCAGUCGAUACGAGCAAACUAGAGUGUUGCAGGGGAGACUGGAAUUCCUGGUGUAGCGGUGAAAUGCGCAGAUAUCAGGAGGAACACCGGUGGCGAAGGCGGGUCUCUGGGCAACAACUGACGCUGAGGAGCGAAAGCGUGGGGAGCGAACGGG